UACAUAGCAAGUGCCAGGAUAGCUGGGCCUU
rnacentral:piRNA from 1 species